UGAUUAGAAACAGGUCCCCAGAAUCCAUUCAAAUGGUCACCAAAAAGCAAGUUUCUUCCUACAAAAUCCUCCUUGGUUCCUAAGGAGCAGGUGUUUGCCUUAGAGCAAAUUCAGGCCAGUUAAAAAGAAAUCACCAACCAUCAGACUUUCAGAUCCUGCCACAAAACCACAAAGCUUUCACACAGCUCAUUUUAGUGGCCAACUGAUGAAAGCGUUCUGGUCACUGGGUACCCGUCCCCAAGUCUACAUGUAAAUUAGAAUGCUAAAGACGUGCGCUCUGUUUUCUAAAUUGCUUAAAUUCCUAGGCGGAAAGGCACCCGGCAUGCAGGAAGGAAAAGAGCUUAGGGUUAGCUAGUCAAAGCGCGGGGCUUGCAGGGCUGGGAUGCCUGCAGGUGCCUGGAAGCCUCCGAAGCCUGCCCAGAUCCCGACCCUGCGCGGGGGAGGACCCCAGGAAACACAGAGCACAGUCCAGGUCCCACUAGUCUCCUUCCUCCUGCCCUCAGAGCUCUGCCUCUUCCCGGGCUGUUUUCUGCUGCUUUUCCCGCCCACAACGCUGUCUCCCGGGGUUGGAUUGAGUGAAAGGUCUCCAUGGAGACGCGAAACUGAAGAGGCAGAGGCGGAAGAGUGGGAGGCCCAGUCCUCAAACAUCAGUGGAGAAUUGUGCUCAGUACUUACAGGGCGAGGGAAGCGGAGGCGAUGAAGGACAACGCAAGUGAGAAUCUGGCAUCUCAUGAAAGUCCGCUUCACCGAAGUUUCUGACCUUGCAGCUUAAACAGGUACUUGAUUCACCGUGACAUCCGGGCUACUCAUUCAUCUUCAUGAUUUCAGCCAUAUUCAAGAUCCCUAAUCAACCUGCUUAGGAUUUCAUUUCUCUCCAAUGAUUCAAAGAUCUUACUGUGGAACCCUGAUUGCCCUGGAACUCUCAAUGUAAGCAUGAUGGCCUCAAACUCACAGAGAUCCACCUGCCUCUGCCUCAUAAGCACUGGGAUUAAAGGUAUACAACACCUUGCAAGGCUACUUUCUUAAAUAAAAUACAAACUAUCAUGA